rnacentral:rRNA from 1 species
CAAUUUUGGGGUUGUAGGACUAUGACAUGGAUUGUACAAAUAACUGGAACGUUUUGGAAAGAACGAUCAUAGAGGGUGAUAAUCCCGUACAGGUAAGUCUGUAUAAAUCCUAAUAGUAUCCUGAGUAGCGCGGGGCACGUGAAACCUUGCGUGAAACAGCCGGGACCAUCCGGUAAGGCUAAAUACUCCUGUGAGACCGAUAGCGAACAAGUACCGUGAGGGAAAGGUGAAAAGUACCCUGAAUAAGGGAGUGAAAUAGAACCUGAAACCGUACGCUUACAAGCGGUCGGAGCCCAUUUAUGGGUGACGGCGUGCCUUUUGCAUAAUGAGCCUACGAGUUACCUUUGCUAGCAUGGCUAAUCCGUUAAGCGGAGCAACCGAAGCGAAAGCGAGUCUGAAUAGGGCGUUUAGUUAGCAGUGGUAGACGCGAAACCUAGUGAUCUAUCCAUGGGCAGGUUGAAGCUGUAGUAACAUACAGUGGAGGACCGAACCCGUUGACGUUGAAAAGUCUUGGGAUGACCUGUGGG